UACGUAGGGGGCGAGCGUUGUCCGGAAUCAUUGGGCGUAAAGAGCGUGUAGGCGGCCAGGUAGGUCUGCUGUGAAAACUCGAGGCUUAACCUCGAGCUGUCGGCGGAAACCAUCUGGCUAGAGUCCGGAAGAGGAGAAUGGAAUUCCCGGUGUAGCGGUGAAAUGCGCAGAUAUCGGGAAGAACACCCGUGGCGAAGGCGGUUCUCUGGGACGGUACUGACGCUGAGACGCGAAAGCAUGGGGAGCGAACAGG
rnacentral:rRNA from 1 species